UACGUAGGGGGCAAGCGUUGUCCGGAAUCAUUGGGCGUAAAGAGCGUGUAGGCGGCCCGAUAAGUCCGCCGUGAAAGUCCAGGGCUCAACCCUGGAAUGCCGGUGGAAACUGUCGGGCUGGAGUCCGGAAGAGGCGAGUGGAAUUCCUGGUGUAGCGGUGAAAUGCGUAGAUAUCAAGUGGAACACCAGUGGCGAAGGCGAAUCCCUGGAAAAUACCUGACACUGAGGCACGAAAGCUAGGGGAGCAAACAGG
rnacentral:rRNA from 1 species